AAUCGGCCUGGAGCGAAGAACCAGCGAGAUUGACUGGAGAGAGUAGAGCCAUUUUUCUGUCAUCGCGAAUGGCAAGGAUCAAAAAUCCGUAUCUAGAUUUGUAAGGAAAAAAGUCCGAGGCGUUUGAUCGUGGAGAUGUUAUGGCAAAAAAGGGUAUCAGCAGGCAACUAUCCAUUGCGCCCGCACAACCACCAGGCAACCCUUGUUCUUCGAAGUUGCUAGCAAGAUGCGGACCUUCCUCUUCCGUGCAGUCAUACCACCAUCUGGCCUUCGACACCUAGCAAACCUUCGAUCACUCUAUAUGUCUAAAGAAGUGAUGAUGAUCCCUCUGUGUUUAGUCAGCGCAAAAUUCCUACAGAAGACGAUCUUGGGAACACACACCUGAUAUGUGAAAGUUACCAAUUUAUAGGCGCUAUAAACAUUCCCGUCGUGGCCAAACCUAUACAACGUCACGGUUAGCUCAUAGAGAGGUGCUUGUUAUCCUUCAGAGAUGGGGAAUAUCGCUCUUGAAUUCGCUCACGGACAAAACGCACUAUGCCAUUUCCCCCUUCUGUGGAGCACGAGAGAACGUGAUGUCGUUUCGAAAACUGUACGUCAGCAAUUUGCCAAAGUCGGGCUAGCAACCGGAUGUUCUUAUCCUGCCAGGGAACGUGGGGUAUCAACGCUAUCCUUUGUUGGGGCAUCAAGUGAAUAUCAAAUCUAUCUUUUUCUCCCUCUCCCCAUGCUAGAGCUGCCUCAUUUGCCAGGAGGACCGCAGAGAACAUAUUAAUCUCUUCCGUCAAAAACCCUUGUACGGAUGUUUCCUAACAAUCUUCUCAAAUCUUCCUCCGCAUACGGUUUCGGCCUAGUAGGUGCUUUCGGCAACCAUUAAGUAGUCCUUCAGAUUAUCUCAUAGAUCGCUCCUCUGCAUCCGGAUAAACCGCAGGAACAGGUCGCUUAGAGUUCA
rnacentral:sRNA from 1 species